GAUGAACGCUGGCGGCGUGCCUAAUACAUGCAAGUCGAGCGAAUGGAUUAAGAGCUUGCUCUUAUGAAGUUAGCGGCGGACGGGUGAGUAACACGUGGGUAACCUGCCCAUAAGACUGGGAUAACUCCGGGAAACCGGGGCUAAUACCGGAUAACAUCUUGAACCGCAUGGUUCGAAAUUGAAAGGCGGCUUCGGCUGUCACUUAUGGAUGGACCCGCGUCGCAUUAGCUAGUUGGUGAGGUAACGGCUCACCAAGGCAACGAUGCGUAGCCGACCUGAGAGGGUGAUCGGGCACACUGGGACUGAAACACGGCCCAGAGUCCUACGGGAGGCAGCAGUAGGGAAUCUUCCGCAAUGGACGAAAGUCUGACGGAGCAACGCCGCGUGAGUGAUGAAGGCUUUCGGGUCGUAAAACUCUGUUGUUAGGGAAGAACAAGUGCUAGUUGAAUAAGCUGGCACCUUGACGGUACCUAACCAGAAAGCCACGGCUAACUACGUGCCAGCCGCCGCAGUAA
rnacentral:rRNA from 1 species